GGGGCAGACAGGUGCGUCCAGGUGAGGCUCUGUCUUGGAAACAUUCCAUGGCUGUUACUCCAGACCCUACCCUCUGCCUCAACCCAAGACAGACCAGGACAACAAGAUGGGUGGGUAACUGUGGGGUGGUGUCUAUCUGUGUUCUGAGAGAGGAGUGGCAUCAAAGGAGAAGCAAGGACUGAGAAUUGGCUUGGGGGCAGGGAAGGAGGUACAGGCAUUGUCGAAGUAGGGCUAAGGAAGGAGUGGGGAGUUGUUGCAAAACCCUGGGGCCUGACCAUGUUGCAUGUCAUACAAUCUGCCUUACUGAGAGACCCCCAAAUGGUUUCCCUCUCUCUCUCUGUGAAGAAGUAUUAAGUACAGCCUCGCCAAAUUUCAUUCAGUCUUAGACCUGAGCUCUACAGGGGAGGAGAUAGCCGCCUAUGGUAGUAGCACAGGUCAGAAGAAAAACCUGAAAGAGGUGGAGAGAAGAGGCUAAGAGGAGUGUGGCUCAGACAAUGGAUAGUCCACUUCACAUCAAAAGUCUCUUCCUGGACCUCUUACAGUGGAAGUUAAUACUUCCUGUUCUUCCAGUAUUCUGGAUUGUCUUCAGUUUCCAAAAGGCAAGGCUGACACCUCCCAGGGGUCCAAGUAGGGGAAGUUAGGGCCUCCCUCCCUCAUCUACUCAAUGCUAGCCCAAGCUAAGAGAGAAGAAAUCCUAGCUCAGAGCAGCAAAGCCACAGACCUUUGUUAAUACUCUCACAUAGGAGGGGGAAGGGCGACAGGAAUGGAGGCGAGGUGAGUCUAAAAGCUAAGACCUAGAAUUCUGUAACUUUUUUAGGUUUGCUGUUAUUUUGUGACCACAACACAUAAGAAUUUAUUUUUAAAGUGCCAUUACAACCUAUGCUUUGGGAAAAUAUUUUGUGGCCAACUCUGUAAUUGCAUUAUAGACUUAUUCAGUAGGUGAUGGAAAAUAAGACAUAUUGCUAUUGUGGAAAGGAUUAAAUGAUAUAGCGCCUUUAUCAGGGUAUAAUAGAAUUUAGAGGAAUUUGGCCAAACUCAUUGCCAUGGAGAUGGAUGAGUCAGGAGCCAGCCAUGCUGGCUAACACCGAGAGUUGAAAAUACCAGAAACUAUUUUUAAGCAGAAAAAGGACUUAUUAAAGAAUAUUAGGUAGCUCAUUGGUGAUGCAGGCAGGAAUGUCAUCAGAUUACCCUGCAUGUUCAGUCUGGUAGAGGCAGCACUACUGCCUCCAUUGAACAUGGGCAACUCAGAUCUUACUCCCAAACCUGGCCAGCGGAGGCUGCCACUAGAAGCUCUGCCUUUGCUUUCUUUGGAAGAUGGAUUCUUCUAUCAAUAUUCUUCACCAAAAUGACUCAGUGUGGCAUCUGUUCUUUAUAUUCUUAUCUUCUGAAUCUGCUUCUUGCAGGUAUCUGUGGUUGACAGCUCUUAGAUCACAUGUCUUCAUCCACGGUAGUAGAUUGGAUUAUUGUUCCCAUCUAUUUUCCCCCAUUUUGUAAGGGAAUGUCUAAUUCCAUCCAUCACCUUAUGACUCACAUUGUGUCCCUAUAGGUGAAGAAUAUGUCCGCAGGCCAUUAUGAGACUUGACAAUGUGACUGUCUUGGGUCAUUGGAAUGAGAGCCGAGGUGAAGUGUUUUAGUUCCCUACAGAAGCUUUAUGAGACACUGCAUGUUUGUACCACCUCUUGGUGUUUUUCCUCUACCGCAAUAAAGACAUGUCCCAACGAAGAGCCCCUCCUUCAGCUUGAGUCCUGGAUGAGAAAACAUGUGGAUCAGAGUCCCAGAAGUCCACCUGCAGCCAACGACAUGAUGUGUAAAUGAGAAAUGUUUGUUGUUUAAGUCUCUGUGAUCUUGGAGUUUUUCUAAUAGUAGAAAAACUGAUUAAUUAGUUAGGAAGGUGAGUUUAUGGCUUUCAUCUUGGGGAGAUGUAGAAUCAUAAGGAGGGAAAUCCCUGAAACGUAGGAAGAUCAAUCCAAGUGCUGAGUGGCCACAGUAAAUGACAAAUGUCCACUAUAAACACAGACUCUACAUUCACAAAAUUUAGAAAACACACAGAAGCACUCAGAACAAAAUGUGGCCACCUCAUUGUACAAUAGCAUUUCUCCUGUCAAAGAGAAGUUCAAAUCCACUUUCCAUUGCUGGCCACAGUCCUAAAAGAGAAAUAUAAUGUUAUCUGGGGAGGGGGCAGAAAGGAAAACCAGGAAGGAAAAAAAAGGAUUGAUGGUUUCAAGUUUUCAAAAUUGUUUUGUCAACCUGUGCUCAUUGUUUGGUAUCUAGAGCCAAAUUCAGGAAUAUGUCUAGUCAAGUAGUUAAGAGUGAUACUAUGAUUCCCAUACAAUGUGAGAAAAAAAUUUGUCUAUAUAAACAAUCUCCCUUUUGAGGGGAACAGUAAAUGAAGUAUUUUUGUUUUCUCAAUUUAGAAAAUUUCAAUGUACCAUUUGUCUUCUAAGUAUUAUCAUGCAUAUUGCCAAACUUCUGCAUUUUCCUUUCUAUCUCCUCUUUGUCCCCUAUGCUCCAAGCAUCCUAAUUGCAGCAUUGAGACUAUGCUCUGUCUCGGGAUACAAGAUCUACUUUCUUUUCAGCAGGAUGCAUUAUGUUCAACAAAAAGAAAUUUCAAACAAAGUUUAGGGCCCAACAUUUUCUACAGUCCUUGUUACCUGCUUUUUUCUCUGAAUGUAUCUACUGUAGGAUUUCAAGGACUCUUUAGCUCUUUGCCAAAGUGGCUACCACUGCUACUUCCUGCAAUGGAAUUCCUUAAUUAGGUCUGUGAGUCUGGCCUUAAAGGAGAGGUCCCCCCCUCCUAUUAUUUUCCACAUUCAUGACCUAGAAAAUCAUAAUCAACUGAUUUCUGAACCUGAGCUGCUGUUUUCUUCCAGAGUCUACACCUUCAGGGACCCAGAGAGGCCUAUCCUUGUGUAUAUAUGUCUUCCUAUAUUCUUGCUUUUCCUCACUGAGCUUUCAUAUUUUCUAGAACGUCUAUAAAUAUUGCCACUCCUUUUCCUGCGUAGUAAGAUAUGACUCUAACGUCCUUUAAUAUUUCAUUUCCCUCGUUUUAUUUCCUGUCAGUUAAGGCAAGUCCGGCAAUUUUCUUUUAAUCUUGUAACGCUGGCUCCAUUUUUUCUCUACCACUUGUAGGAGCAACACAUUUACUGGACCAGAAUGUCUUCCAGUGCUCCCUCACUUUCUCUUUCAACUCAACGCCUAAGGAAGAUCCUCUCCUCCUUCAAUUCCUGAUACAUUCAGUUUGCGUACUACCACUUCUAAAACUCCUAGAACCUGGUCCAGUUGCUUCCUCAUGCUGCUGACUAUACAACAUGCUGUUGGUCACCGUAACAAGAAUAACCUGAUGGAACGAUAAGAAUGGAAGUAUAUUCUUUGAUUCAGAGUGGUUGUAAAAGGCCACAGAGAUCAAGGUAGUAGAUAGAUGGGCACUCUGAGUAUUUGCUAAGGUGAAAGAUUCAGCAGAGAACAAGAGGCUGAAGAUACAUAUGAGAUAUGAAUUGAAGGGAGGAGAUCCCAGAAGAUAUGAGUGGGAGGGGGAGGAGAGAUGGGGUUCCGAGCAUAGGUGGAGAGAUUGUCUUAGAAAGGAGAGAUACCUCACUCUGUAUACAGAAAAGAGACAAGAAUAGGUAUAGAUAUUUUUAUAGCUGAAGAGACUCAAACCUAAGAUCUUCAGUUUCUCCAUGAGGAAGAUGUGUAGCAGAUGUUAUGGGACCAUGCCCUCAAUGUCCUACUACAAGCCUGUGACUCUUACCUGAAGUAUUUCCCUUGAUGUGCCAUGUGUGGCGGGCCAGAAGUGCCAGAGAGUUAAUAGCUCCUGGGGUGUCCCUUAAUCAAUGAAAAAUGAAAGUUGGAGGAUAACUACCCAAACUUCUUUACUUGGGUAGUAUAAUAAUGUGGUAUGUUCUUCACUGUCUCCCAGAGAUGCCUACUAGAAUCGAGUCUCAGCUUCCCCUAGUGAUAACCUGCUUGAUAAUGCACACUUUAUUGACUUCCUUUCUGUCAUUUUCUCACUUCCUAACAUUCCUAAUAUUUCAUCCUGGGAUCACCUCCCAAAUAAACUACUUGAACUCAAA